UACCAGGUGGCGUGGCGAGAAUCUGUCUCCGCACCACGUGCUCUCACCACUGGUGUCCCCCAGGGCUCUGUUCUAGGCCCUCUCCUAUUCUCGCUAUACACCAAGUCACUUGGCUCUGUCAUAUCCUCACAUGGUCUCUCCUAUCAUUGCUAUGCAGACGACACACAAUUAAUCUUCUCCUUUCCCCCCUCUGAUAACCAGGUGGUGAAUCGCAUCUCUGCAUGUCUGGCAGACAUAUCAGUGUGGAUGACGGAUCACCACCUCAAGCUGAACCUCGGCAAAACGGAGCUGCUCUUCCUCCCGGGGAAGGACUGCCCGUUCCAUGAUCUCGCCAUCACGGUUGACAACUCCAUUGUGUCCUCCUCCCAGAGUGCUAAGAACCUUGGCGUGAUCCUGGACAACACCCUGUCGUUCUCAACUAACAUCAAGGCGGUGACCCGUUCCUGUAGGUUCAUGCUCUACAACAUUCGCAGAGUACGACCCUGCCUCACGCAGGAAGCGGCGCAGGUCCUAAUCCAGGCACUUGUCAUCUCCCGUCUGGAUUACUGCAACUCGCUGUUGGCUGGGCUCCCUGCCUGUGCCAUUAAACCCCUACAACUCAUCCAGAACGCCGCAGCCCGUCUGGUGUUCAACUUUCCCAAGUUCUCUCACGUCACCCCGCUCCUCCGCUCUCUCCACUGGCUUCCAGUUGAAGCUCGCAUCCGCUACAAGACCAUGGUGCUUGCCUACGGAGCUGUGAGGGGAACGGCACCUCCGUACCUUCAGGCUCUGAUCAGGCCCUACACCCAAACAAGGGCACUGCGUUCAUCCACCUCUGGCCUGCUCGCCUCCCUGCCUCUGAGGAAGUACAGUUCCCGCUCAGCCCAGUCAAAACUGUUCGCUGCUCUGGCACCCCAAUGGUGGAACAAACUCCCUCCCGACGCCAGGUCAGCGGAGUCAAUCACCACCUUCCGGAGACACCUGAAACCCCACCUCUUUAAGGAAUACCUAGGAUAGGAUAAAGUAAUCCUUCUAACCCCCCCCCCUUAAAAGAGUUAGAUGCACUAUUGUAAAGUGGUUGUUCCACUGGAUAUCAUAAGGUGAAUGCACCAAUUUGUAAGUCGCUCUGGAUAAGAGCGUCUGCUAAAUGACUUAAAUGUAAAUGUAAACAGAACUCAUUUGGCACAAACUUCCUGACCAGGAAGUGGAAAGUCUGAAAUUGGGGCUCUGUUCUACUUCCUGCCUAUAAAUGGGCAUGAUACGUAAGAGUAUACGUGCACUUCAUAGACCUUCCCCUGGAUGUCAAGAGGCGGUGAGAGAAGAAAUUUAGUGAUUAUCUUGGUCUGAAGUGGAAUACAGGCUCUUUGUAUGACGUGUCCGCCCAUUUCCUGUUUUCUGGAGGCUCGAAAGGGGACUUGGAUUUGCCUUCUGUUUAGCUGCCGUUAUAGGCGACUAAUAUCUCCGGCUUUGAUUUUAUUUGAUACAUGUGACCAUAUCAUCGUAAAGUAUGUUUUUUCAAUAUAGUUUCAUCAGAUUAUUUAAAAUUUUUCGGGAGUUUUGCCGUGUUCCGUUCUCUUCCGUUUGUUGACAUAGAAAGAUUCGCUCCACUUGGCAAGUGCGCUUUCUAAUUCAAGAGGGAAAAUGAACAUUCUAAAUCCAAACAACGAUUGUUCUUGACAAAGUACACCUUGUCCAACAUUCUGAUGGAAGAUCACCAAAAGUAAGAAACAUUUUAUGAUGCUAUUUCAUAUAUCUGUCGUGCAUGUGAACUAGUCGUCGGCGCCCAACGUUUGGGUACUCAGCUAUACCGAAGCUGGAUGUCGUAAUUAAGUUAUUUUUUUUUAUUCUAACACUGCGAUUUCAUUAAGAACUAAUGGAUCUAUAAUUUCCUAUACAACAUGUAUUUUUUAGUUAUGUUUAUGAAUAGCUAUUUGGUCAGAAUAUGUGUGGCUUGUCUUUCUGGCUAUUGUGGUAAGCUAAUAUAACGCUAUAUUGUGUUUUCGCUGUAAAACACUUAAUAAAUCGGAAAUAUUGGCUGGAAUCACAAGAUGCCUGUCUUUCAUUUGCUGUACACUAUGUAUUUUUUAGAAAUGUUUUAUGAUGAGUAAUUAGGUAUUUAACGUUGGUGCCUGUAAUUAUUAUGGCUGCUUUCGGUGCAAUUUCUGAUUGUAGCUGCAAUGUAAACUAUGAUUUAUACCUGAAAUAUGCACAUUUUUCGAACAAAACAUAGAUUUAUUGUAUAACAUGUUAUCAGACUGUCAUCUGAUGAAGUUGUUUGUUGGUUAGUUUGGUUGGUUCUUGGUUAGUUAGGUUGGCUUUGUGCAUGCUACCUGUGCUGUGAAAAAUGUCUGUCCUUUUUUUGUAUUUGGUGGUGAGCUAACAUAAAUAUAUGUGCUGUUUUCGCUGUAAAACAUUUUAAAAAUCGGACAUGUUGGCUGGGUUCACAAGAUGUGUACCUUUCAUUUGCUGUAUUGGACUUGUUAAUGUGUGAAAGUUAAAUAUUUAAAAAAUAUAUAUUUUGAAUUUCGCGCCCUGCACUUGAAGUGGCUGUUGUCAUAAGUGUACCGGCACCGCCCUGCAGCCAUAAGAAGUUAAACGAUGAGAGAAGUGCUACACCUGGUGGAGAGAGAUUGUAAGACAGAAAUAGUUGCUUUAUGCGUGCUGUACGUUAUGACAUGACACGUCACGAUGUAACGGAGGGUCCGUUUUUCAACUUUUCUCCACUACUAUAGACCCAUUACCAUGUCGAUCAACGCUUGAAGAAAAACCUAGUUCACACCCCCGAUUUUGAAGUCAACACAGUCGCUACAGUCCCAUUAGUUUUCUUUGUAGCCUCGUUUGAAUGUUGCGGUUAGGCACAUUUGUACAGAAUGGGGUGAGUUUACGUUACUGUAACUGUUAUUGCAGCUUUCUGUUUGUAUGUAACGUUAGCUUGCACUUUAAUGGCAUCCCUCGAGGAGAUUUUCUUUUAUCUUUCUAACCAGGAGAAGUACUAUGAAGACACCACGGAUCUCGACAAGAGGCGCAACAUUCCGAGAAAUUCACAAUUCAGUGCAAUCACAUCUACCUACGGGGGAAGGAUGGCCAGCCACACAGGAGGGUGAAUUUUACUAAGGAGGAGAAGGAGGCCAUGCUGACCGAGAUGCAUGCUGGCCAUUUCGGAGUGAAGAGCAUGAUUUCCAAAAUCAACCUAUGCUUCUUCUGACGGGGAAUUGUCAAGGAGGUGUACACCUGGGAAAGUGAAAUAACCAUUUGUUUAUUAAUCACAUUCUAUUAUAUAUGACAUAUUAUGAUUUCAAUGAAUGUCAUAUUAGAGAGCACACAAUGUUUGAAUGUGUUCCUUUUUGCGAAAAGUUCAGUACCCUAUCUAGCCUGCCAGAAGUUUGAGAGGGAGCAGACUGUGGCGCCGGAGUUGAAGCUAAUCAAAGUUAUUUCACCAUGGCACAUGAUCUUAAUCCAGGAAUGGCAACAGCUGGUGUCUGACAGCGACCGAUCACUUUACCAAGUGGGUGGAGGCAAAACCCAUUAAGGAUGAGACUAACAAGGCCACCUCCAAGGCCAUGGUGGACAUCUUCAACACCUGCCCCCCAGGAGGUAUCCCAUCCACCAGAACCAUUGAGUUCAGAUCAGUCUGAUUCGCUGUACUCUGAGUCAGAGGGGGACCAGCUUGAGGAACUAGGGGUUCUGCCCAACACCCAGACGUGGAUCCAACUGAUGUCAACCAUUACCAACCACCCUCCAACUUUUCAUUACAUAAUCUACAGCUACUGUUGUUGUUAUGUUGUCAUUAUAUGCUAAGAAAGUUUUCUUGCUCUAUCAUACCGGGCACAUAAUAUGUGAGAUACACAGAUUAACUAAAAACACUGCACUGCAAACACUCAGAACAGAGAGAGCAGCAGUGCCUGGACUUUGCAGUCUCUCUCUUCAAGUCCCCCUUCUGAGACUGGCUGUCUGUUGAGAACAAGUGACAGGCAGAGCCUCGCAACCACCUCUAUAUUCCAAACACCAGAAUUCAUUAUUUUAGUCCAUGAUUGCCAUGUGAGUGCACAAAAAAGUCUGUUAAAAUAAACGAAUGACACAAUUGUACCAAAAACUAUCAAAGUUCAUGUAUUGAAAUCUUAAAUAUUG